rnacentral:rRNA from 1 species
ACGGAAGGCAGCAGUGGGGAAUAUUGGGCAAUGGGCGAAAGCCUGACCCAGCGACGCCGCGUGAGGGAAGAAGGUCUUCGGAUUGUAAACCUCUUUCAGCAGGGAAGAAGCAAGUGACGGUACCUGCAGAAGAAGUCACGGCUAACUACGUGCCAGCAGCCGCGAUAAUACGUAGGUGGCGAGCGUUAUCCGGAAUUACUGGGUGUAAAGGGUGUGUAGGCGGAGAAGCAAGUCAGGCGGGAAAUUUAUGGGCUCAACCCAUAAACUGCGCUUGAAACUGUUUCCCCUGAGAGUGGGAGAGGUAAACGGAAUUCCUGGUGUAGUAGUGAAAUGCGUAGAUAUCAGGAGGAACACCGGUGGCGAAGGCGGUUUACUGGACCACAACUGACGCUGAGACACGAAAGCGUGGGGAGCAAACAGGAUUAGAUACCCUGGUA